rnacentral:rRNA from 1 species
UACGUAGGUGACAAGCGUUGUCCGGAUUUAUUGGGCGUAAAGAGCGCGCAGGCGGUCGGUCAAGUCGAGUGUGAAAGCCCCCGGCUCAACUGGGGAGGGUCAUUCGAUACUGAUCGACUCGAAGGCAGGAGAGGGUAGUGGAAUUCCCGGUGUAGUGGUGAAAUGCGUAGAUAUCGGGAGGAACACCAGUGGCGAAGGCGACUGCCUGGCCUGUUCUUGACGCUGAGGCGCGAAAGCGAGGGGAGCAAACGGG